GCCGGUUUUCCACUUCAAGCGUACCGUACCGAAACAUAUCAAAGACGUUUUUAAAUUUCAAAAUUUCGUGAAUGUUGAUUGGUUAGUAUUUCCGUAGUACGCCAAAAAGUUGACUUGCGACAAACUUUUCAUUUUGAUACGCGAAUACACCCGGAAGUACGUGGAUUUAUAAACCUCUUUUCAAUCUGCGCAUGCUCUCUAGUACGUUUCGGUAUGAU